rnacentral:rRNA from 1 species
AGAGUUGAGUGCCGGGGUAAGACACCUCGAAGACCACGAGGUAGAUAGGCCGGGGGUGUAAGAGUGGAAACACUCUUAGCUGACCGGUACUAAUCAGUCGAGGACUUGACCG